rfam:Candidatus Woesearchaeota archaeon CG1_02_47_18 cg1_0.2_scaffold_6799_c, whole genome shotgun sequence.
GCCUCCGUAGCAUAGUAGCUAUUGCGGCGGACUUGUAAUCCGCAGGUCGAGGGUGCAACUCCCUCCGGAGGCU